rnacentral:rRNA from 1 species
AGAAUCAACGCUGGCGGCGUGCCUAACACAUGCAAGUCGAACGAGAAAGUGGAGCAAUCCAUGAGUAAAGUGGCGUACGGGUGAGUAACACGUGGAUCAUCUACCUCUUGGUGGGGAAUAACCCUGGGAAACCGGGGCUAAUACCGCAUAAGCCUGCGAAGGGAAAGCGUCGUCUUAAAAACGACGUGCCGAGAGAAGAGUCCGCGGCCGAUUAGCUAGUUGGUAGGGUAAUGGCCUACCAAGGCAAUGAUCGGUA